rnacentral:lncRNA from 1 species
UAAUUACUGUCCAUCCCUCUGUAGAGUCCGGAUGCCUUCCCCCAGAUCAUGGAGAAAACCUGAUGCCUAAUCAUUUGGUUCAGUAUCUGCCUACCCCACUCAACCAACACCUCACGAAGAAGCUAGGCACCAGUCACAUAGCAAGGCUGGAGCUCAGUCUUACCAGGAACUCUGGAAUGGAGAAGUGACUGUUGACUCCUGAUUUCCCUUUGGCAGAUGACCAGAUAGAAUCAGCAUUAACAACGUGCAGAAAAUGCCAAAUGCAGGGAAAAUGACAAAUGUGCCAGAUGAUUUAAUAUCGAGUAAAGAUAAAGGUUAACAGAGAUGAUCUUGUCUUCUUCAUUUGCAAAAUAAGUUAAAAGUGCUUUUUG